rnacentral:rRNA from 1 species
AACGCGAAGAACCUUACCUGGGCUCGAACGGCUUAAGAUCAACGGUAGAAAUACUGUCUUCUCGCAAGAGACUUGAGUCGAGGUGCUGCAUGGCUGUCGUCAGCUCGUGUCGUGAGAUGUUGGGUUAAGUCCCGCAACGAGCGCAACCCUUGUCCUGUGUUGCCAUCAUUUAGUUGGGCACUCUCAGGAGACCGCCAGCGAUAAGCUGGAGGAAGGUGGGGAUGAUGUCAAGUCAUCAUGGCCUUUAUGUCCAGGGCUACACACGUGCUACAAUGGCCGGUACAAAGCGCUGCAAACUCGCAAGAGGGAGCUAAUCGCAAAAAACCGGUCUCAGUUCGGAUCGCAGGCUGCAACUCGCCUGCGUGAAGCUGGAAUCGCUAGUAAUGCCGUAUCAGAACGAUGGCGUGAAUACGUUCCCGGGCCUUGUACACACCGCGAGC